AGGUUAAGCUACAAAGAGCACACGGAGGAUGCCUAGGCGCCAGGAGCCGACGAAGGACGUGGCGAACAACGAUAAAGCCUCGGGGAGCUGUAAGCAAGCUUUGAUCCGGGGAUGUCCGAAUGGGGAAACCCGGCUGUCUUCAUCGACAGUCACUACUCACUGAAUUCAUAGGUGGGUGAGAGGCAGACCAGGGGAACUGAAACAUCUAAGUACCCUGAGGAAGAGAAAACAAUAGUGAUUCCGUCAGUAGCGGCGAGCGAACGCGGAUUAGCCCAAACCAAGGAGCUUGCUCCUUGGGGUUG
rnacentral:rRNA from 1 species